UCAUGGUGACCAGAGAGUGCUGGCACCUGCAUGGACAUGCUAUGUGUACAAAAGCCACAGCCUGGACUCCUGAGCAGCAGCAGCAGUUCCCUUCCCUUCACUGGAUACUUUCCCACUGCUUUUAGUGUCCAUCCUGGGAUGGAUUGAAUUCAGGAACCAAGCAGGAAAAUUUUCUGGACUGCCUUUAACCUAAGCCAGUGAUGCAGAGCUGAAAGAUUUUGAGCACUUCCACCUUCUAGCCUAAGCCUUCUACAGACAGUGGGAAGUAAGCAUCUAUGUUUCGGACUGCUGGAAUCAGGUAUGAUCACAAUCCUUUCUUGAUGCUACAGCUAGUAAUUACCACUGGGAAGUAAUGAGUGCAUGAGCAAGGGUGAACAGAAAGGCACAGAUUGAGUGGAGGGCAGAUAAAGCAGCUGCAGAAGAAAAAAAAACCUACUCAUUCCAAAGAGGCCAAAUGUUGAAGUGAGGCCACUUUCAUCCUAAGUGAAAAUAUGGCUCAACUAGAAAAGAACCAGCAUUUUUUCCACAGGAUGGAAGGACUGGCCUGGAAAAAAAAUAGAGGACAGGAUGACUUCUAUGUCAUAACAAACCAAACCUGAAUCUGAUUUUGAUGACAGAUAAAAUACAUGAGAUUUGAAUCUUGUUAAAACUCACCAAAAAUAAAG